CCUACGGGUGGCUGCAGUGGGGAAUCUUGCGCAAUGCGCGAAAGCGUGACGCAGCAACGCCGCGUGGGGGAAGACGGCCUUCGGGUUGUAAACCCCUUUCAGGAGGGACGAAGGCAUGGCGGUGAACAGCCGACCGUGCUGACGGUACCUCCACAAGAAGCCCCGGCUAACUACGUGCCAGCAGCCGCGGUAAUACGUAGGGGGCGAGCGUUGUCCGGAAUCAUUGGGCGUAAAGCGCGCGUAGGCGGCCCGGUAAGUCCGCUGUGAAAGUCCAG
rnacentral:rRNA from 1 species